rnacentral:pre_miRNA from 1 species
CGGGGGAGGCCGGAUCCUGGGCUGUGUCCCGGCGGCCUGUGCCCUGGAGCCUGCGCUGGUGGAUUCGUGCCCCCGCCCCGCAGCCCCCU